AACGAACGCUGGCGGCAGGUCUUAGGCAUGCAAGUCGAACGGGUGUAGCAAUACAUCAGUGGCGCACGAGUGAGUAACGCGUGGGAAACUGCCCAUCACUGGGGAAUAACGUUUGGAAACGACCGGUAAUACCGCAUACGCCGGAAACGGGAAAGAUUUAUCGGUGAUGGAUGUGCCCGCGUUGGAUUAGCUUGUUGGUGGGGUAAUGGCCUACCAAGGCGAUGAUCCAUAGCUGGUCUGAGAGGACGAUCAGCCUCGUUGGAACUGAGACACGGUCCAGACUCCUACGGGAGGCAGCAGCUAAGAAUAUUGGACAAUGGGGGAAACCCUGAUCCAGCCAUGCCGCGUGAAUGAAGAAGGCCUUCGGGUUGUAAAGUUCUUUUAGUCGUGAAGAUGAUGACAGUAGCGACAGAAAAAGCACCGGCUAACUUCGUGCCAGCAGCCGCAGUAA
rnacentral:rRNA from 1 species